UUUAUCGGAGAGUUUGAUCCUGGCUCAGGACGAACGCUGGCGGCGUGCCUAAUACAUGCAAGUCGAGCGGACAGAUGGGAGCUUGCUCCCUGAUGUUAGCGGCGGACGGGUGAGUAACACGUGGGUAACCUGCCUGUAAGACUGGGAUAACUCCGGGAAACCGGGGCUAAUACCGGAUGGUUGUUUGAACCGCAUGGUUCAAACAUAAAAGGUGGCUUCGGCUAC
rnacentral:rRNA from 1 species